ensembl:lncRNA
CUAUAUACAGGGUGUUACGGUACAGAGUCAAUGUGGAGGCUAUAUACAGAGUGUUACGGUACAGAGUCAGCGUGGAGGCUAUAUACAGGGUGUUACGGUACAGAGUCAAUGUGGAGGCUAUAUACAGGGUGUUACGGUACAGAGUCAAUGUGGAGGCUAUAUACAGGGUGUUACGGUACAGAGUCAAUGUGGAGGCUAUAUACAGGGUGUACCGGUACAGAGUCAAUGUGGAGGCUAUAUACAGGGGUACCGGUAGAGAGUCAAUGUGGAGGCUAAAUAUAGGGGGUACCGGUACAGAGUCAAUGUGGAGGCUAUAUACAGGGGGAACCGGUACAGAGUCAAUAUGGAGGCUAUAUACAGG